GUUUAGUUUAAUGACACGAGUGUUGGCAUAGUUAGCAUUGCUAAGCCUCUGUCCUGAUUGAAAGGUCCUAAAGCAUCCCUGCUUUAUUGUCUAUUUUAAAAUGAAGGGGAUAAAUCAUUUACUGUAUUGAAGAAGACUUUAAACUAGCAAUU